UGCUGAGUUCUGGGAAUACAAAUACAAGAAGACAGAAAGACAGACCCUCCCCUGGAGGAGCUUACUUCACAUGCUACAGAGAGAAGACAACACACAAGAGAGAGCUGAAAGGGGGGUCCAUGGGAAAGAAGUGAUGCAGGCAUGGUUAGCCUGAGCCUCCCCUUUAAAAUGGAGAUUCUAGGAGAAACCAGCCAACCAGAGGGAGAGGCCACAAGACCAGGAGGGUAGGCUGGGCUCUGUGCUCAAUCCUGAAUCUUCUCAUCUUAUCAUUGCUCACAAUUCACCAACCCCCAACUCUAGACCAUUCCUGGCAUUCACUGUCCACUUCCUACUUAACUGAUGCUAAAUGGAGUUGACAGAGGUGGGGCAGCCGUGCUACCUGGGUGUGUGGCCCAUUGACAUUAGCUUGUUCCUCUGGGGACCUUGGCAGAAGGCAGUCUGCCUUAAUAGAUUCUUCUCCCACUGCCCAAAGCAAGCAGAGAAUCGACAACCCCUUGUCUGGCAUGUUCUAGGGGAGAUUUCUUCCUGAAUGAGCUGGACUCAUUCAUGUACGAGGUCCUUUAAAACUCCUGCCUUCUGUGCUCUGACUCUGGUGUUAUGAAUGAUAAAAAGGCAGGCUAACUCCUCCCAGAAUGCCCCACUACCUGCAAUAGAUUUGCUCCCAAACCCCCAGGAAAAAAACAAACAUACAAAAAUGCCUUCUGAUACAGCAGCACCUUUCAAGAUUUCCCAGUGACUCUCUUCUCUUCACCAGUUAGUUUAUGGGAAGGUUCGUGGCUUCAGCUGAACUGAGGGGGCUGUGUGCUCUAUUCACCAGGUAUUUCCUAUUUCUCAAUGCUUCAAGCCAUCUGUUUUCUCAUGUUCAAGAAACCUCUCCUAGGCCCUGCCUCUGUUGGAACAUUGGCCACCGCAAGCGGAGAUGAUCCCCGAGGGGACAGCAGAAGCCUCCCACACACACUUCCUGUUUCGCAUGGGGUGUACCUGCGGGCCAGAGAUGAGGUGUGGUUCUUACCUGAGCCGUCACAUCCCGCUAUGCCAGGAAGGACUCUGUGGGUGUUACACAGAAUCAUAAAACUGUAAGAGAAGUGUGAUGUCAUCGAGCCCAACCCCCUCAGUUUACAGGGAAGGAAACCCUCAUGUAAGGAAAGCAACUGGACCAAGGUCAAGAAGAUCCCUUCCCUUCUGAUUAAAUGGAAGAGCCGGAAUUCAAACUCAUUCUCAAGAUUCCAUGUCUAGCUGUCUUUCUAAUAUGCCAUGUUGUGAAAUCAGAAAAGACAAGAUCCGGCAAAGGACUGACUACGUGGGUUGAGCGUGAGUGAGGAGACAAGGCUGACUCAUGUUCAGGACUUCGGAUGGCCAAGUGAAGAAGAAGGAAGGUUUUGGGGAAAGAAUGAGUACUGCUAGUUUCUCGGGUCAAGGGAAAAGUCUUUGGUCUGACCUCCAGUAGAAUGUCGGUCUUCUGAGGGAGGGCUUGUUUGGCAUUUGUCUUUGUAACUACAGUGCCUGGCACGACAUCAAGACCUGAUGUUCUCUGAGGUCCCUUCUAGGGUUAGAUCUAUGACCGAUGACCUACGGAUCCUCUGAGCCUCCAUUUCUUCCAUCUGUGUAGUGAGGAGAUUGGACCAGAUGGCAGGAGGGACCCCUUCCAGAUCCAGAGCCAUGAUCCUAUCAUCAGCGCUUGAGGCCAACGGGGUGAGGUUUGACCUUGGAGGGAGAGAACCUCUCACAAAACUCUCGCUUUGGGUAAGCUUCUUGCUGGGCCUCUGCCCAAGUGCAGAAGAAGGUCCUUCCCCAGAUGAAAUCUAAAAUCCUUUGAUUCUGUCCUCCAACAGUGACUGGCUUUCUCUAGCUCCCAACAGUUGAUAAAUAUGGAAGUCUCAAGAUGGUAAUAACUAGCACUUACUAAUAUUUAAGGCUUGCAAAGCACUUUACAUACAAUUCCAAAGGCUUUCCUAUCUGGUUUUUAUCCAAUCCUCU